rnacentral:rRNA from 1 species
AUUGAACGCUGGCGGCAUGCUUUACACAUGCAAGUCGAACGGUAACAGGCCGCAAGGUGCUGACGAGUGGCGAACGGGUGAGUAAUGCAUCGGAACGUGCCCAGUCGUGGGGGAUAACGCAGCGAAAGCUGUGCUAAUACCGCAUACGAUCUAUGGAUGAAAGCGGGGGACCGUAAGGCCUCGCGCGAUUGGAGCGGCCGAUGUCAGAUUAGGUAGUUGGUGGGGUAAAGGCCUACCAAGCCGACGAUCUGUAGCUGGUCUGAGAGGACGACCAGCCAAACUGGGACUGAGACACGGCCCAGACUCCUGCGGGAGGCAGCAGUGGGGAAUUUUGGACAAUGGGCGCAAGCCUGAUCCAGCAAUGCCGCGUGCAGGAAGAAGGCCUUCGGGUUGUAAACUGCUUUUGUACGGAACGAAACGGCCUGGGUUAAUACCCUGGGCUAAUGACGGUACCGUAAGAAUAAGCACCGGCUAACUACGUGCCAGCCGCCGCAGUAAAAC